GACGAACGCUGGCGGCAUGCCUAAUACAUGCAAGUCGAGCGAACAGAUGAAGUGCUUGCACUUCUGACGUUAGCGGCGAACGGGUGAGUAACACGUAAGGAAUCUACCUAUAAGCGGGGGAUAACAUUCGGAAACGGGUGCUAAUACCGCAUAAUAUCCUCUUCCGCAUGGAAGAAGAUAGAAAGACGGCUCUGCUGUCACUUAUAGAUGACCUUGCGGUGCAUUAGUUAGUUGGGGGGGUAAUGGCCUACCAAGACGAUGAUGCAUAGCCGACCUGAGAGGGUGAUCGGCCACAUUGGGACUGAGACACGGCCCAAGCUCCUACGGGAGGCAGCAGUAGGGAAUCUUCCGCAAUGGGCGAAAGCCUGACGGAGCAAUGCCGCGUGAGUGAAGAAGGCCUUCGGGUCGUAAAACUCUGUUAUAAGAGAAGAACAAAUUGUAGAGUAACUGCUACAGUCUUGACGGUAUCUUAUCAGAAAGCCACGGCUAACUACGUGCCAGCAGCCGCAGUAA
rnacentral:rRNA from 1 species